UGUCGUCAGCUCGUGUUGUGAAAUGUUGGGUUAAGUCCCGCAACGAGCGCAACCCUUAUCCUUUGUUGCCAGCGGUCCGGCCGGGAACUCAAAGGAGACUGCCAGUGAUAAACUGGAGGAAGGUGGGGAUGACGUCAAGUCAUCAUGGCCCUUACGACCAGGGCUACACACGUGCUACAAUGGCGCAUACAAAGAGAAGCGACCUCGCGAGAGCAAGCGGACCUCAUAAAGUGCGUCGUAGUCCGGAUUGGAGUCUGCAACUCGACUCCAUGAAGUCGGAAUCGCUAGUAAUCGUGGAUCAGAAUGCCACGGUGAAUACGUUCCCGGGCCUUGUACACACCGCCCGUCACACCAUGGGAGUGGGUUGCAAAAGAAGUAGGUAGCUUAACCUUCGGGAGGGCGCUUACCACUUUGUGAUUCAUGACUGGGGUGAAGUCGUAACAAGGUAACC
rnacentral:rRNA from 1 species